GGGAUUGUAGCUUAGUGGUAAAGUGCUUGCCUAGUAUGCAUCAGGCCCUGGGUUCUAUUCCUCAGUACCA
rnacentral:tRNA from 1 species